UUAAUAAUAAUGAUGAUAAAGAUGAGAUUGAGAUAUCUAGGACGUGGUAAUUAAAAACCAAAACCAUCCCUGUUGUUGUA